rnacentral:misc_RNA from 1 species
GAAAUGCGAUAAGUAAUGUGAAUUGCAGAAUUCAGUGAAUCAUCGAAUCUUUGAACGCACAUUGCGCCCGCCAGUAUUCUGUCGGGCAUGCCUGUUCGAGCGUCAUUACAACCCUCAGGCCCCCGGGCCUGGCGUUGGGGAUCGGCGGAAGCCCCCUGCGGGCACAACGCCGUCCCCCAAAUACAGUGGCGGUCCCGCCGCAGCUUCCAUUGCGUAGUAGCUAACACCUCGCAACUGGAGAGCGGCGCGGCCACGCCGUAAAACACCCAACUUCUGAAUGUUGACCUCGAAUCAGGUAGGAAUACCCGCUGAACUUAAGC